AGCGAACGCUGGCGGCAGGCUUAACACAUGCAAGUCGAACGGGCACUUCGGUGUCAGUGGCAGACGGGUGAGUAACACGUGGGAACGUACCUUUUGGUUCGGAACAACUGAGGGAAACUUCAGCUAAUACCGGAUAAGCCCUUUCGGGGAAAGAUUUAUCGCCGAAAGAUCGGCCCGCGUCUGAUUAGCUAGUUGGUAGGGUAAUGGCCUACCAAGGCGACGAUCAGUAGCUGGUCUGAGAGGAUGAUCAGCCACAUUGGGACUGAGACACGGCCCAAACUCCUACGGGAGGCAGCAGUGGGGAAUAUUGGACAAUGGGGGCAACCCUGAUCCAGCCAUGCCGCGUGAGUGAUGAAGGCCUUAGGGUUGUAAAGCUCUUUUAUCCGGGACGAUAAUGACGGUACCGGAGGAAUAAGCCCCGGCUAACUUCGUGCCAGCAGCCGCAGUAA
rnacentral:rRNA from 1 species